rnacentral:rRNA from 1 species
UCAUUGAAUCUAUCGUACCCACACCGCGAAAAUACUUUUGCCCUUCUGGACAUGGCAGGCUUCAAGGCUGCCCUUCAGUUGCGCAGGUCAGGGGCUGGCUCCUUUUGGUGUCAGUUGACUUGACUGGGCGGGUCCAAUACCAACCGGAUUCCCCUUGCCUAUGGGCAAGGGGUUCUGCCGGCUGUGAGGGGUGGCGGUUAACUCACUUUAAGCAAUCAACUCUGAAGACAGACCUAUUGGCUGGCAUUGCUGGCUGUGGGCUGAAAAACUACAGACAACUCUCAACAACGGAUAUCUUGGCUCCCGUAACGAUGAAGAACGCAGCGAAAUGCGAUACGUAGUGUGAAUUGCAGAAUUCCGUGAACCAUCGAAUCUUUGAACGCAAAUUGCGCUCGAGGCUCCGGCCAAGAGCAUGUCUGCCUCAGCGUCGGCUACUACCCUCAACUAAGUUUCCUAUUAAUUAUAGGGGAUGCCAGUUGGAUCUGGCCGUCCGGUUUUGCCUUUCAGGUUGCCGGUCAGCUGAAAUUCAUUCACGUUCUGGGGGCUGCUUUCCUCGAAAGGUUACUUUCGAGGGGAGGUGAGUUCCGAUUUGGUAGGUGACCUUUGCCGGUUGCAUGCCUUCGUUGCCCGCUAAGCUUCCCAGUAGUCGUUGUGCAGGACGCCUUUUGGCUU